GCAGAUUCUGGGGUGCAGUGGGUCAGAGACUCUGCAUCUGACAAGCUCUCAGGAGAGGACCCAGGAGCUGGAGUGUCUUCACAUGAAGACUCAACCAGGAGCCAUGUGGGUUCUUCUGUGAGGGGAAGGGAGGUUCUUGUGAAACCCUCAGCCCCUCUGAGAUAGAAGAACCACAGAUUAUGGGUUCUCCUGUUCUAGCCUGUACAAAAAGUUUCCCUGGUUCCCCAGGGCAUCAUGAACUGGUGAGAUGUCUUCAGAAGAAACAGGCAGAUGUUCCACAAACCAGAGACUCUGGGAACAAAAAAUAAUCCACUGAUUUUUUUGAGAUGCAGGCACCAGAGACGCUGUCACAAAGAGGAUGAUGAACAUGUUCCUUACACUUGGAGCCUCUUCAUGCUCUCUUGCAAUCUCUUUAUUUUACCACUCUCCACUUCCUAACCCUGUCUUAAGGAAACUCUUAUCUGUUUUCUGUCAUGAUAAAUUCAUUUUCAUUUUCUAGAAUUUUCAAAAUUUGAAUCAUACAAUAUGUAAUUUUAGGCGGAGUUUGGCAACUUGACUCAACAUAAUUAUUUUGACAUAGUUCUUUCUUUU